AAAAUGCCAUAGUCGAUUGCAGGUUGAGUCUCUCCCAUUUCUGAGAGGACUCAUCACACCUAAUUUGAGUAAUUUCCUUUUCAAUUUCCUGGGCCAUUUUAUUUUACCUCUGGCUGCCCCUUGGAUGAGUGGAAAAAGAAACUUGGAGUAAGAUGAAAGAAGAAAGAGGAAAGACAAGAAAUCAAGAACUCCAAAGGUCACAAGGCAGGAA
rnacentral:lncRNA from 1 species